rnacentral:lncRNA from 1 species
CUGGCCAUUCCCGAUAGUUUGAUGAACGAACACAUAGUUAAAAUUCAACAUAGACUAGUGAUAUUUAUACUUUGUCCUUUACUCUCGGCGACCGAAACAUUUUACAGCAUUCCUGACGCGAUUGGAAGCAGUACCUCUGGCCAAGGGAAGCCAGUCGAAAUGGUACGGAAUUGCUGAUAAAAUGUCGUCUAUUUUGGGGAAAAAAAUUAACAGAACAUUCAGACCACACAACCUAUACAGUCUAUACACAGCCUGACAACUUAUUGUAUUAUUCUUUCCACGAUGCAAGAGGACAAACACAUGUUGGCAGAAUAAUUUUAACAAACAUUUUCACAACAAAACAUUUUAUUUUAAUUUCUUUUUAUAGUUUAUUUCAAUACUUUACAAUGAACUUUCACUUUCACUUUCAGUACGUUGCUAUUAAUAACGUUACUUACCAUUGUAACAUUGUGACGUUUAAAUUUUAACAACCCGAUUUUUUACUUCAACAUGAUUUUAUGUAUUGUUUUUAUCCUGAUGACGGUGCCCUAGGCACCGAAACAUGUCGAUCAAUAAAUUUCUGCAGCAGUCCCUAAAGUGUUGUUGUUAUAAGACUCUCUACAUUUUAUGUUUUUUAUCAUAACGACCCUGCAUACCCUCGGGUAUCCACUUUAUGGACUCUACCGUACUACAGACUCACCAGGCGUUGGUUCACUUUCGUUUGUAAUUGAUUUUAUUUUUUAUCGUGAACCCCUGCAUUCCUUAAUUAAGGAACCGCCGUUGCAACCAGCGCUAAUCAUACUAGCCAUUCGCACAGAGUAAACAAAGUUAUAUUUUAUUGAGGCACCCACAGGAACCUUCCGAGAAUGCUGCCAUCAACCACAAGAAAAGAAAUAGAUAAUAACGGACCAUCUUAACCCAAAACGAGCCUUAAAGGAGGAAAAGAACAGUGAUAGGAAAUUAUUUCUCUCUAACAGAAUUCAUUUGAAAUUAAAUGCACCCGAUUUCGUAUUCUUCAAAUUCAAUCUGAUGCUCCCGAAAAUAUGUUAAUCAAACAUACAACCCUCGAGAUACAACCACUUUUACAGAUUACUGGCCAUUCCCGAUAGUUUGAUGAACGAACACAUAGUUAAAAUUCAACAUAGACUAGUGAUAUUUAUACUUUGUCCUUUACUUUCGGCGACCGAAACAUUUUACAGCAUUCCUGACGCGAUUGGAAGCAGUACCUCUGGCCAAGGGAAGCCAGUCGAAAUGGUACGGAAUUGCUGAUAAAAUGUCGUCUAUUUUGGGGAAGAAAGUUAACAGAACAUUCAGACCACACAACCUAUACAGUAUAUACACAGCCUGACAACUUAUUGUAUUAUUCUUUCCACGAUGCAAGAGGACAAACACAUGUUGGCAGAAUAAUUUUAACAAACAUUUUCACAACAAAAACAUUUUAUUUUUAAUUUCUUUUUAUAGUUUAUUUACAUACUUACAAUGAACUUUCACUUUCACUUUCAGUACGUUGCUAUUAAUAACGUUACUUACCAUUGUAACAUUGUGACGUUUAAAUUUUAACAACCCGAUUUUUUACUUCAACAUGAUUUUAUGUAUUGUUUUUAUCCUGAUGACGGUGCCCUAGGCACCGAAACAUGUCGAUCAAUAAAUUUUCUGCAGCAGUCCCUAAAGUGUUGUUGUUAUAAGACUCUCUACAUUUUAUGUUUUUUAUCAUAACGACCCUGCAUACCCUCGGGUAUCCACUUUAUGGACUCUACCGUAUUACAGACUCACCAGGCGUUGGUUCACUUUCGUUUGUAAUUGAUUUUAUUUUUUAUCGUGAACCCCUGCAUUCCUUUAAUUAGGAACCGCCGUUGCAACCCGCGCUAAUCAUACUAGCCAUUCGCACAGAAGAAACAAAGUUAUAUUUUAUUGAGGCACCCACAGGAACCUUCCGAGAAUGCUGCCAUCAACCACAAGAAAAGAAAUAGAUAAUAACGGACCAUCUUAACCCAAAACGAGCCUUAAAGAGGAAGAGAACAGUGAUAGGAAAUUAUUUCUCUCUAACAGAAUUCAUUUGAAAUUAAAUGCACCCGAUUUCGUAUUCUUCAAAUUCAAUCUGAUGCUCCCGAAAAUAUGUUAAUCAAACACACAACCCUCGAGAUACAACCACUUUUACAGAUUACGGGCCAUUCCCGAUAGUUUGAUGAACGAACACAUAGUUUUAAAUUCAACAUAGACUAGUGAUAUUUAUACUUUGUCCUUUACUUUCGGCGACCGAAACAUUUUACAGCAUUCCUGACGCGAUUGGAAGCAGUACCUCUGGCCAAGGGAAGCCAGUCGAAAUGGUACGGAAUUGUUGAUAAAAUGUCGUCUAUUUUGGGGAAGAAAGUUAACAGAACAUUCAGACCACACAACCUAUACAGUAUAUAUACACAGCCUGACAACUUAUUGUAUUAUUCUUUCCACGAUGCAAGAGGACAAACACAUGUUGGCAGAAUAAUUUUAACAAACAUUUUCACAACAAAAACAUUUUAUUUUAAUUUCUUUUUAUAGUUUAUUUACAUACUUACAAUGAACUUUCACUUUCACUUUCAGUACGUUGCUAUUAAUAACGUUACUUACCAUUGUAACAUUGUGACGUUUAAAUUUUAACAACCCGAUUUUUUACUUCAGCAUGAUUUUAUGUAUUGUUUUUAUCCUGAUGACGGUGCCCUAGGCACCGAAACAUGUCGAUCAAUAAAUCUCUGCAGCAG